GACGUAGGGCGCGAGCGUUGUCCGGAUUUAUUGGGCGUAAAGAGCUCGUAGGCGGCUUGUCGCGUCGACUGUGAAAACCCGUGGCUCAACUGCAGGCCUGCAGUCGAUACGGGCAGGCUAGAGUUCGGUAGGGGAGACUGGAAUUCCUGGUGUAGCGGUGAAAUGCGCAGAUAUCAGGAGGAACACCGGUGGCGAAGGCGGGUCUCUGGGCCGAUACUGACGCUGAGGAGCGAAAGCGUGGGGAGCGAACAGG
rnacentral:rRNA from 1 species